CGGGUCAUCUUUGUGACCUUCAACGUGAUGCUUGACAAUGAUUUCCAGUAAAGUCCUCAAAGGUGAACUCUGAGCCUGUAGUAACAUUAAUGUCGUUAGCAGAUCCUCAAUGUGCAGAACUUGUCUCAAGUGGGAUCUGUUGUUGAUGCUGGACUGUGUGCGUGGACGCUCUUCAUCCAUGCACGCGAUCGUCUUCUUGAGUCCCUGCACGUUGAUUACAGGUGUGGAUCCCCAGCGCUUGUCUAAAGGGUCUCACGGAGAGUGGUUGGUGGGCCGUGCCUCAUCCAUCACACCAUGCGGGGCACACUCGCAGGUUAGUGGGCUUAAUCGGCUUUGACCUG